rnacentral:lncRNA from 1 species
GGGCAAGGCAGCUCUCUGCCAUCUGAAUGCAUGAGCAUCCGGGUAUAUGGUUGAAGUAUGUGGCCUCCUGGGGCUUCUUCCUUACCUCUACUUAAAAGGAGUUGUGGGGAUGGGUUGGUGACACACUAUGUGCAGGAAAUGGGGAGGCCCUUCCCUUAUAAGAGCUGGUAGUCUCCUGGGAACAAGUGACUACCCAAGUGAUCUCUGACACCACAGUCAGCUUUUCCCUACUAAAAAGCCAAAAUCUUUGUAGGGUUCUUCUCCCUGAACAGAUUGGCCCUAAAGCCUUUAGGUGGGCAUGGCAUGGUGUAUGUGCUUCAGAGGGGAGUGGGGAUCUGUGAAGACCCAGAGCAGAUUUCUGGAACCUAAGCAGGAUGAAGCGUGUUCCUAUGAGUGGGUUUGGGAGAAUGGCCUGCCAUGUAGUGUUAGUCAAAGCAGGGUGAAGAUACUUCCUGCAGAGUGGGACAGGUGCAGACUGUUAAAGCCCAGGUUGGGUGAGAAUAUCCAUAUGGAGUAGAGUAGCCAAGCAUGGGUGUAAGAACCCUAGUUGGGUGGCCCCAUCAUGUGUGGGCAGGACAUCUGUGCAGGGAUGGGUAUGGCAGUGGGGUGAGAUCAGUUAAAUACAUGGACACUGGUCCAGUAAGUUAAUGAAUAAAGGAUAAUAGGGGGUUUCUCACUGGCAGACAAGGGAGGGAAAACUAGAAUGAACCCUAUGAUGUUGGAUUGGAAUUGGAGGUGUCAGUGUGACAUCAUGGUUUUAUACACACAGGACAUAAAAACAAUUAGAUGUAAAUAUGUGCAUACAUAUGCAUGUGUUCAUGUGCAUACAUGUAUCCCUUAGCUUUUUUCACUGAGAGGACCUGGGAACAGCAGCAGCCUAAUAGCAAUGAGCACAUCUUGUGCCAAGAUCUUGGUUUCUAAAUAUCAUUCUCCAGUAGAAUAAACUGAGGGGCUGGGGUGUAGCUCAGUGAUUGAGCAUGUGCUUAGUAUGCAUGAGGGCUCUGGAUUCAAUCUUCAGUACCUCAAAAAGAAUUUGGGGCUCAUUGGAGAACUGACAGAUGCCAGAGCUAGAAUAGGAAAAGCACAAGAUGAGUCUGGAACAUUUGUGCCAGAAAAUAAGGGCAUAAAGAAGUAUGGAGACCAAGACAUAUCAAAAACAAAACUACUGGCCAAACCAGGGACAAUCUGAGCAUUUAAAUAAAUAAAUAAACAAACAAAUAAGCAAGCAAGCAAGCAAGCUAUGCACAGUGGUGCACACCAGUAAUCCCAGCAACUUGGGAGGCUGAGGCAGGAGGAUCACAAGUUCAAGGCCCAGCUUGGCAAUUUAGCAAGACCUUGUCUCAAAAUAAAAAGGCCUGGGCAUGGAGCUCAGUGGUAAAGCACUCCUGGAUUUGAUCCUCAGUACCAAAAAGAAAAAGAAAAUAGGUAAUGGAUUAUCAACCAGCAAAUGAAGUAGAAAGUAAUGUGUCUAUAUUGAUAUAAAUAAGUAAAUUGAAAGUUCCAAGGGCUGGGGAUGCAGCUCAAUGUUAGUGUUUGCCUAGUAUGUGUGAGGCUCUGGGUUAGAUCCCCAGCACUGUAAAAGAACAAGUUCCAUGUGAAACAGCAUUCCAGCCCUUAGCAAAACUUCAAAGUUGAGCUGGGCACAUUGGUGGUAAUCCAUAAUCUGAGCUACUUGGGAGGCUGAUGCAGGAGGAUCAAGAGUUCAAGGCCAGGGGCUGGGGAUGUGGCUCAAGCGGUAGCGCGCUCGCCUGGCAUGCGUGCGGCCCAGGUUCGAUCCUCAGCACCACAUACAAAGAUGUUGUGUCCGCCGAAAACUAGAAAAAUAAAUAAAUAUUAAAGAAUGCGCUCUCUCUCUCUCUCUCUCUCUCUCUCUCUCUAAAAAAAAGAGUUCAAGGCCAGCCUGGGCACCUUAAUGAGACCCUGUCUUCAAAAG